AGUUUCUAAAGCAUGAUAUGUUGGUGUAUAUAUGUUAAUGCAUUUUAAAAUUUAAUGAUUUUAUGUGUAUAAAUGAUUUUUAAGUAUGUUGCCAUCACAACAUGAGUUUGUUGUGUUUUAUGAGCACCACUGAGUUUUAUACUCAGCGGGUUGAUUUUAUCACGCGCAAGUUGGAGACUGUGCUUGCUGUUUAAAAACCUGAAGAGUAG
rnacentral:lncRNA from 1 species